AGUCGAGGGGCAUCGGGAUUGAAGCUUGCUUCAAUUGCCGGCGACCGGCGCACGGGUGCGUAACGCGUAUGUGACCUACCUAUAACAGGGGCAUAACACUGAGAAAUUGGUACUAAUUCCCCAUAAUAUUCGGAGAGGCAUCUCUCCGGGUUGAAAACUCCGGUGGUUAUAGAUGGACAUGCGUUGUAUUAGCUAGUUGGUGAGGUAACGGCUCACCAAGGCAACGAUACAUAGGGGGACUGAGAGGUUAACCCCCCACACUGGUACUGAGACACGGACCAGACUCCUACGGGAGGCAGCAGUGAGGAAUAUUGGUCAAUGGACGCAAGUCUGAACCAGCCAUGCCGCGUGCAGGAAGACGGCUCUAUGAGUUGUAAACUGCUUUUGUACGAGGGUAAACUCACCUACGUGUAGGUGACUGAAAGUAUCGUACGAAUAAGGAUCGGCUAACUCCGUGCCAGCAGCCGCGGUAAUACGGAGGAUUCAAGCGUUAUCCGGAUUUAUUGGGUUUAAAGGGUGCGUAGGCGGUUUGAUAAGUUAGAGGUGAAAUCCCGGGGCUUAACUCCGGAACUGCCUCUAAUACUGUUAGACUAGAGAGUAGUUGCGGUAGGCGGAAUGUAUGGUGUAGCGGUGAAAUGCUUAGAGAUCAUACAGAACACCGAUUGCGAAGGCAGCUUACCAAACUAU
rnacentral:rRNA from 1 species